rnacentral:rRNA from 1 species
GACGAACGCUGGCGGCGUGCUUAACACAUGCAAGUCGAACGGAAAGGCCCUGCUUUUGUGGGGUGCUCGAGUGGCGAACGGGUGAGUAACACGUGAGUAACCUGCCCUUGACUUUGGGAUAACUUCAGGAAACUGGGGCUAAUACCGGAUAGGAGCUCCUGCUGCAUGGUGGGGGUUGGAAAGUUUCGGCGGUUGGGGAUGGGCUCGCGGCUUAUCAGCUUGUUGGUGGGGUAGUGGCUUACCAAGGCUUUGACGGGUAGCCGGCCUGAGAGGGUGACCGGCCACAUUGGGACUGAGAUACGGCCCAGACUCCUACGGGAGGCAGCAGUGGGGAAUAUUGCACAAUGGGCGGAAGCCUGAUGCAGCAAUGCCGCGUGCGGGAUGACGGCCUUCGGGUUGUAAACCGCUUUCGCCUGUGACGAAGCGUGAGUGACGGUAAUGGGUAAAGAAGCACCGGCUAACUACGUG